rnacentral:pre_miRNA from 1 species
CUACUACUCCCUCCGUCAUCAAAAUGGACAAAAAGGGGUGUAUCUAAAACUAAAAUACAUCUAGAUACAUCCCUUUUUAUUCAUUUUGAUGACAAGUAUUUCCGGACGGAGGGAGUACUUG